GGGGGUGACAUGGUUUCGACAGGAAGCACUUUAAAAAGAUUGCAAGCCGAGUUUUACUUGUACUCGUAAAAAAAGAGUUAAAAUUUAAAGCGUUAAUGAAAAUUACGCUCCAGCCUUCGCUUAAAAACGAAUCUGGUGUCCAUCAGUUUGUUUCUUAUCCGAGCUGAAUGGGCAUAAACCCGAUAAGAUGCUUUAAUAUUUUUUGGCUUAAGGAUAUUAACUAAGAUAAUUAGCCUUACUUUUGAUCAUUCUGCUAAUUGAUAAGAUUAAAGGGACAUAAAAAAAUUAGACAAGCUUGUGGUGAUCUUUUAACGGAGUUUCUUGGACGCGGGUUCAAUUCCCGCCGCCUCCACCA
rnacentral:tmRNA from 1 species